CCUUGCGUGAGUGAUGGGUUUUAUUCGGAUCGUAAAGCUGGUGUUGUUAGGGAAGAAGGGUGCCGUUCAAAUAGGGCGGCACCUGUGACGGUACCUAACCGGAAGAAAGCCACGGCUAACUAGGAAGUGCCAGCAGCCGCGGUAAUAUUACGUAGGUGGCAAGCGUUGUGGUUCGGAAUUAUUGGGCGUAAGGGAAGUUGUUGCUCGCAGGCGGUGUUCGGAGUCUGAUGUGAAAGCCCCAAGGCUCAACCGGGAAGAGGGUCUAUUUGGAAACUGGGGAACUUGAGUGCAGAAGAGGAGAGUGGGGUUCCCCCACGUGUAGCGGUGAGAUGCGUAGAUUGAUGUGGAUUAACACCAGUGGCGAAGGCGAUUCUCUGGUCUGUAACUGACGCAAUGAGGAGCAAAGCGUGGGAGCGAACGGAUUAGAUAAUACCUGGUAGUCCACGCGGCGUAGGAACGAUGAGUAUAAUGUAAGUGAUUAGGUAGGGUUGGUCCGCCAACCUUAGAAGCUGCAGCUAACGGGCAUUAAGAACACUCCCGCCUGGGGGAGUACG
rnacentral:rRNA from 1 species